rnacentral:rRNA from 1 species
AUUGAACGCUGGCGGCAUGCUUUACACAUGCAAGUCGAACGGCAGCGCGGGCUUCGGCCUGGCGGCGAGUGGCGAACGGGUGAGUAAUGCAUCGGAACGUGCCCAGUAGUGGGGGAUAGCCCGGCGAAAGCCGGAUUAAUACCGCAUACGACCUGAGGGUGAAAGCGGGGGACCGAAAGGCCUCGCGCUAUUGGAGGGGCCGAUGUCGGAUUAGCUAGUUGGUGGGGUAAAGGCUUACCAAGGCGACGAUCCGUAGCUGGUCUGAGAGGACGACCAGCCACACUGGAACUGAGACACGGCCCAGACUCCUACGGGAGGCAGCAGUGGGGAAUUUUGGACAAUGGGGGCAACCCUGAUCCAGCCAUGCCGCGUGCGGGAAGAAGGCCUUCGGGUUGUAAACCGCUUUUGUUCGGGAAGAAAUCCUCUGGGCUAAUACCCCGGGGGGAUGACGGUACCGGAAGAAUAAGCACCGGCUAACUACGUG